rnacentral:rRNA from 1 species
GACGAACGCUGGCGGCGUGCCUAAUACAUGCAAGUUGAGCGCUGAAGGUUGGUACUUGUACCGACUGGAUGAGCAGCGAACGGGUGAGUAACGCGUGGGGAAUCUGCCUUUGAGCGGGGGACAACAUUUGGAAACGAAUGCUAAUACCGCAUAAAAACUUUAAACACAAGUUUUAAGUUUGAAAGAUGCAAUUGCAUCACUCAAAGAUGAUCCCGCGUUGUAUUAGCUAGUUGGUGAGGUAAAGGCUCACCAAGGCGAUGAUACAUAGCCGACCUGAGAGGGUGAUCGGCCACAAUGGGACUGAGACACGGCCCAAACUCCUACGGGAGGCAGCAGUAGGGAAUCUUCGGCAAGGGACGAAAGUCUGACCGAGCAACGCCGCGUGAGUGAAGAAGGUUCUCGGAUCGUAAAACUCUGUUGGUAGAGAAGAACGUUGGUGAGAGUGGAAAGCUCAUCAAGUGACGGUAACUACCCAGAAAGGGACGGCUAACUACGUG